UUAAGCGACUAAGCGUACACGGUGGAUGCCCUGGCAGUCAGAGGCGAUGAAGGACGUGCUAAUCUGCGAAAAGCGUCGGUAAGGUGAUAUGAACCGUUACAGCCGGCGAUGUCCGAAUGGGGAAACCCAGUGCAAUUCGUUGCACUAUCGUUAACUGAAUACAUAGGUUAACGAGGCGAACCGGGGGAACUGAAACAUCUAAGUACCCCGAGGAAAAGAAAUCAACCGAGAUUCCCCCAGUAGCGGCGAGCGAACGGGGAGCAGCCCAGAGUCUGAAUCAGCUUGUGUGUUAGUGGAACGGUCUGGAAAGUCCGACGGUACAGGGUGAUAGUCCCGUACACCAAAAUGCACAGGUUGUGAACUCGAAGAGUAGGGCGGGACACGUGGUAUCCUGUCUGAAUAUGGGGGGACCAUCCUCCAAGGCUAAAUACUCCUGACUGACCGAUAGUGAACCAGUACCGUGAGGGAAAGGCGAAAAGAACCCCGGCGAGGGGAGUGAAAAAGAACCUGAAACCGUGUACGUACAAGCAGUGGGAGCACCUUCGGGUGUGACUGCGUACCUUUUGUAUAAUGGGUCAGCGACUUAUAUUCUGUAGCAAGGUUAACCGUAUAGGGGAGCCGCAGGGAAACCGAGUCUUAACUGGGCGUUAAGUUGCAGGGUAUAGACCCGAAACCCGGUGAUCUAGCCAUGGGCAGGUUGAAGGUUGGGUAACACUAACUGGAGGACCGAACCGACUAAUGUUGAAAAAUUAGCGGAUGACUUGUGGCUGGGGGUGAAAGGCCAAUCAAACCGGGAGAUAGCUGGUUCUCCCCGAAAGCUAUUUAGGUAGCGCCUCGUGAACUCAUCUUCGGGGGUAGAGCACUGUUUCGGCUAGGGGGUCAUCCCGACUUACCAACCCGAUGCAAACUACGAAUACCGAAGAAUGUUAUCACGGGAGACACACGGCGGGUGCUAACGUCCGUCGUGAAGAGGGAAACAACCCAGACCGCCAGCUAAGGUCCCAAAGUCAUGGUUAAGUGGGAAACGAUGUGGGAAGGCACAGACAGCCAGGAUGUUGGCUUAGAAGCAGCCAUCAUUUAAAGAAAGCGUAAUAGCUCACUGGUCGAGUCGGCCUGCGCGGAAGAUGUAACGGGGCUAAACCAUGCACCGAAGCUGCGGCAGCGACACUAUGUGUUGUUGGGUAGGGGAGCGUUCUGUAAGCCUGCGAAGGUGUGCUGUGAGGCAUGCUGGAGGUAUCAGAAGUGCGAAUGCUGACAUAAGUAACGAUAAAGCGGGUGAAAAGCCCGCUCGCCGGAAGACCAAGGGUUCCUGUCCAACGUUAAUCGGGGCAGGGUGAGUCGACCCCUAAGGCGAGGCCGAAAGGCGUAGUCGAUGGGAAACAGGUUAAUAUUCCUGUACUUGGUGUUACUGCGAAGGGGGGACGGAGAAGGCUAUGUUAGCCGGGCGACGGUUGUCCCGGUUUAAGCAUGUAGGCUGGUUAUCCAGGCAAAUCCGGAUAAUCAAGGCUGAGGUGUGAUGACGAGGCACUACGGUGCUGAAGUAACAAAUGCCCUGCUUCCAGGAAAAGCCUCUAAGCAUCAGGUAACAUUAAAUCGUACCCCAAACCGACACAGGUGGUCAGGUAGAGAAUACCAAGGCGCUUGAGAGAACUCGGGUGAAGGAACUAGGCAAAAUGGUGCCGUAACUUCGGGAGAAGGCACGCUGGUGUGUAGGUGAAGUCCCUGCGGAUGGAGCUGAGACCAGUCGAAGAUACCAGCUGGCUGCAACUGUUUAUUAAAAACACAGCACUGUGCAAACACGAAAGUGGACGUAUACGGUGUGACGCCUGCCCGGUGCCGGAAGGUUAAUUGAUGGGGUUAUCCGUAAGGAGAAGCUCUUGAUCGAAGCCCCGGUAAACGGCGGCCGUAACUAUAACGGUCCUAAGGUAGCGAAAUUCCUUGUCGGGUAAGUUCCGACCUGCACGAAUGGCGUAAUGAUGGCCAGGCUGUCUCCACCCGAGACUCAGUGAAAUUGAACUCGCUGUGAAGAUGCAGUGUACCCGCGGCAAGACGGAAAGACCCCGUGAACCUUUACUAUAGCUUGACACUGAACAUUGAGCCUUGAUGUGUAGGAUAGGUGGGAGGCUUUGAAGCGUGGACGCCAGUCUGCGUGGAGCCAACCUUGAAAUACCACCCUUUAAUGUUUGAUGUUCUAACGUUGGCCCCUNAAUGUGUGUUCGAGUCUCUCAAAUUUUCGCAAUCAGAAGUGAAACAUCUUCGGGUUGUGAGG
rnacentral:rRNA from 1 species